ACCACCCACGUUUAAAGUGAGCUCCAGCUCUGUGGACAAACGUGUGAAGCCCUGCGUCUCCGGUAUGUGUGCGUCCUGGCGUAGCCUAGCAACAUCACAGACGCAGCGCUGGGUCCCUUGUCGCAACAUCCCUCUGACGUCAGUGGAAAAAAGCCGUGAGAUCGGAGGGCCCCCUCCUGCCUCCUCCCCGGGGUCCGCUCUUUGGCCCGGUCCUCGGGCUGCGCGGUCCCUUCCCCGGGGCGCGUCCAGCCAUAACAAAGCUCGGAGGACCAGGAGGGCUUUUCUUCCCAGGGCUGUCUCAAGUGAGAGGAGGCUUUUUUCCAGAAACCUCCCAGCAAGACUUCCCUUCGCAUCUCAUUGGGCCGAAGAAGGAUCGACUAAGUAGCUCAGAACAACCUCCCCAUCGUGAACAGUUAGUAAAGCUGGACGGACACAAACCCACGAUUCGCAGACACUGCUGAGCUGAUAAGACAGUGAAUCACAGGAGGAAGAGAAACCCUCAGUUUGCCUGAUGUCUGACUUUGCUGAUCCUCUGAAGAAGGACUAAGCGUACCAGCCACCACUUACACGGUCUCAGCAGGAUGAUUUGCACCUUGACGCGAAGGGCACACAGCGGCCUCGGGGACGCUCAGGUCCGAGCCGUUGCCGCGCCCCACGCCCGCCUUCCACGUCACCCCCUCUGUCACUGAAGGGCUCGCCAACAAAUAUCUAGUGCUCAGGGGCCGCCCACCAGGGGCGCGAAGAUACACAAAUACUGUCCCUGCCCUUAGGGGGCUCACAACCCAACACAAAAUGUAGACAUAGAGAAAUGAACAGGAUACAAGGCGAAAAU